rnacentral:rRNA from 1 species
CGGACGGGUGAGGAACACAUCGGAAUCUACCCUGUCGUGGGGGGACAACGUAGGGAAACUUACGCUAAUACCGCAUACGACCUUUGGGUGAAAGCGGGGGACCAGCAAUGGCCUCGCGCGAUUGGAUGAGCCGAUGUCCGAUUAGCUAGUUGGCGGGGUAAUGGCCCACCAAGGCGACGAUCGGUAGCUGGUCUGAGAGGACGACCAGCCACACUGGAACUGAGACACGGUCCAG